rnacentral:rRNA from 1 species
AGCAGCCGCGGUAAUUCCAGCUCCAAUAGCGUAUAUUAAAGUUGCUGCAGUUAAAAAGCUCGUAGUUGAAUUUCGGGACCGAUAUAUCGGUCGUGCCUCGGUACGUACUGGUAUUUUCGGUUUCUACCUUCUGACGAACCUUGAUGUCAUUAAUUUGGUGUCUUGGGGAAUCAGGACUGUUACUUUGAAAAAUUAGAGUGUUUAAAGCAGGCUCACGCUUGAAUACAUUAGCAUGGAAUAAUGAAAUAGGACGUUUGAUUCUAUUUUGUUGGUUUCUAGGAUCGACGUAAUGAUUAAUAGGGAUAGUUGGGGGCAUUAGUAUUCAAUUGUCAGAGGUGAAAUUCUUGGAUUUAUUGAAGACUAACUACUGCGAAAGCAUUUGCCAAGGAUGUUUUCAUUAAUCAAGAACGAAAGUUAGGGGAUCGAAGACGAUCAGAUACCGUCGUAGUC